rnacentral:rRNA from 1 species
UUAAAGUCUAACCUGCCCACUGAAAAUUUAAAUGGCCGCAGUAUAUUAACUGUGCAAAGGUAGCAUAAUCAUUAGUCUUUUAAUUGAAGGCUGGAAUGAAUGGUUGGACGAAAUAUUAACUGUUUCAUUUAAAUUUUUAUUAGAAUUUUAUUUUUUAGUCAAAAAGCUAAAAUUUAUUUAAAAGACGAGAAGACCCUAUAAAUCUUUAUAUUUUAUUUAUUUUAAUUAAAAAGAUUAUUUUUAUUAUUAUAGAAAAAAAUAUUUUAUUGGGGUGAUAUUAAAAUUUAAAAAACUUUUAAUUUUAAAAUUCAUUAAUUUAUGAAUAAUUGAUCCAUUAUUAUUGAUUAAAAAUUUAAGUUACUUUAGGGAUAACAGCGUAAUUUUUUUGGAGAGUUCAUAUCGAUAAAAAAGAUUGCGACCUCGAUGUUGGAUUAAGGUAUAAUUUUGGGUGUAGCCGUUCAAAUUUUAAGUCUGUUCGACUUUUAAAUUCUUACAUGAUCUGAGUUCAAACCGGCGUAAGCCAGGUUGGUUUCUAUCUUUAAAAAAUUAUUAUGUUUUAGUACGAAAGGACCAAAUAUAAAAAUAAUUAUAUUUUUAAAAAAGAAUAUUAUUAAUUAUA